GUGCCUGUAGCUCAAAGGAUAGAGCACUAGCCUCCGGAGCUAGGUGUUGGGCGUUCGAAUCGCCCCAGGCACG
rnacentral:tRNA from 1 species